GUUACUGAGUGUGUUGUUGCUGCCUUUGUUGCGCUUUUCCCCUCGUUGUUACUGUUUGAUAUUUUUGCCGUUAGUUCUUGUUUCUCUCAUUUGCGUUUGACCCCAUGUGGUCCUUUUAUUUUGUGUUUUACCGCUUGGUGUUCUGUUCCGUUUUCUUUAAUAACCCCCCUUGUCUUAGAGCCGUAAGUGGGCCGUCGCUCUCAUUUCCCGCCUGCACCGUGCCCCGUGCCUAAUACCCUGAGCAAGGCCCUUAACCCCCAAUCGCUCCACUGGCUGAACCUGCUUAUUUUGGAUGAAGGUGGUUUAGGCCAGUUCCACCUUCUCAUUUGUGGCGGCUGCUCUCUCGUGCAGGACUCCAGCAGGUUGGGGGGGGGACUGAUUGGCAGGAUGAUGACAGCAGGCGGGACCGAAGGCUCGUGGGAGCAGCUGUACGGUGAUGGAGUCUGACAUACUUAUAGGUUACUUAGUAUUUCAUGAGACCACGACUGACAUCUCAAUUCAUGAAAGACAUCUCAGGCUGUCUGGAUGCCGUCUGUGCUCUGCAUCGUUUACCGCCCCCUGGGGGUGUGGGGGUAUAAGGGCACCUAGUCCACCGGUGAAGUCGCUUUAUUGUCAUUCGCCGGGCUUUGAACACAUCUCAGCCCUUAUUCAUACCAGCUCAAUAUUGCCUGACUGCGUCCAGCUUGGCAAAGACCUCACUGCUGGAUAGGUGUUAUGUAACGCACAUUUUUGAGAGAAAUUCACAGAAAGCUCUUGUCACGCUCCAGUGGUGCUGGCUGUUGAUCCUCUGCGUAUAUCAGGGUUAUUUUAAUGAGAGGAUUAAGGGAAAUUAAAGCAAAGUGCUCCGUCCCCCUGUGGGAUAGUUAAUGCGUGU